GAUGAACGCUGGCGGCGUGCCUAAUACAUGCAAGUCGAGCGAACAGACGAGGAGCUUGCUCCUCUGACGUUAGCGGCGGACGGGUGAGUAACACGUGGAUAACCUACCUAUAAGACUGGGAUAACUUCGGGAAACCGGAGCUAAUACCGGAUAAUAUAUUGAACCGCAUGGUUCAAUAGUGAAAGACGGUUUUGCUGUCACUUAUAGAUGGAUCCGCGCCGCAUUAGCUAGUUGGUAAGGUAACGGCUUACCAAGGCAACGAUGCGUAGCCGACCUGAGAGGGUGAUCGGCCACACUGGAACUGAGACACGGUCCAGACUCCUACGGGAGGCAGCAGUAGGGAAUCUUCCGCAAAGGGCGAAAGCCUGACGGAGCAACGCCGCGUGAGUGAUGAAGGUCUUCGGAUCGUAAAACACUGUUAUUAGGGAAGAACAAAUGUGUAAGUAACUAUGCACGUCUUGACGGUACCUAAUCAGAAAGCCACGGCUAACUACGUG
rnacentral:rRNA from 1 species